AACGAACGCUGGCGGCAUGCCUAACACAUGCAAGUCGAACGAGACCUUCGGGUCUAGUGGCGCACGGGUGCGUAACGCGUGGGAACCUGCCUUUAGGUUCGGAAUAACUCAGAGAAAUUUGAGCUAAUACCGGAUAAUGUCUUCGGACCAAAGAUUUAUCGCCUUUAGAUGGGCCCGCGUUGGAUUAGCUAGUUGGUGGGGUAAAGGCCUACCAAGGCGACGAUCCAUAGCUGGUCUGAGGGGAUGAUCAGCCACACUGGGACUGAGACACGGCCCAGACUCCUACGGGAGGCAGCAGUGGGGAAUAUUGGACAAUGGGCGAAAGCCUGAUCCAGCAAUGCCGCGUGAGUGAUGAAGGCCUUAGGGUUGUAAAGCUCUUUUACCCGAGAUGAUAAUGACAGUAUCGGGAGAAUAAGCUCCGGCUAACUCCGUGCCAGCAGCCGCGGUAAUGUGACUACUG
rnacentral:rRNA from 1 species